UGGUUCGAUCUCAUGCCCGACAUCUGAAUCUAUGGGAUCUCUCCCUGAAGAAAGAGAAGAUUCAAAGGACCAAUCCUCAAUCGAACUCCUAGAACAAGCCAUUGAAGGAUAAAGAAAAUGACUAAAAAAAACUAACAGGAGAAAAUAAAAGAAAAAGACUAGAAAAUCAGCAAAAGAUGAGGAAGACCAAUCUGCACGAGAAGCAGCAGCAAGUAACUGGAGAAAGUCAUUGGAGGAAACUACCGGCAACCCUAGGAAACCGAAAGAGGUAGCUUGGGGGAGAGUCUUUUAGAGUACUCAACGGAACUGAAAAUCUAAACAACGAAAAAGAGAAGGAGAAAAUUUUAGAAGCAUAAGAGAGAACAGUAGGAGGAUAUGGCCCCUUUUAUAGGUACAGG
rnacentral:lncRNA from 1 species